UCCCCCACCUCCUCCUCCUCCCAUUCCCCCUCCUCCGAAACCCUAGCCAUGGCGUGGCGAGGCCCCGCUACCCGGGCCGUCCUCGGCGCCGUGCGCCGCCCGGCCGCCGCACCAGCGGCCGCGGCCGCGCGACUCCGCGCCCCGCCCCCGUUCGCGGCCCCGCGCCGCCGCGUCCCGUCCGCCUUCACCACCUCCUCCGCCCCGCUCCCGUCCGCGCGGCCUCUGGCGGCGUUGAUGGGAUCCCCGGUGACGGUGGCGGCGGUGAUGGCGCGCCUCACGGCGCACCCGGGUGCCAGCGCGCGGGCGUGCUGCGAGCUCUCACAGGGAAAUGGAAAAGAUGGGUGAUGCAAGGGAGGCCAUUGUAGAGCCUGCCAAAGGUGCUGAUUUGAAGCAUGUACACUUUUGGUACUUGAAGCUGUUGUGUAGAUUCCAUCCUUUUGAAAGGAUAAAAGAUGUGUCUUUGGAAAGCUAUUCUGGCAUUUCAUCUACUGCAAAGUUAGAAGACUUCACCCAGCAAUGCCUUUCCAGCCUAAGUUAGAAUAGACUGAAAUAAAUUUUAUGCUACACGGCAUGGCGUGUGCCCAUGGACCUAUCUUUUCUUUUUGAUGGUAUGUGAUACCAUUAUUACCGUCUGCUGAGAUUCUUUGGGUGUCAAAUUUUAGUUGACCUGAGUUAAGUGAUAGUGUUACCACUUUUGUACCCUUGCAUGAGGUCUUUGCUUA